CAUGUUAAAACACUGGUUCUUGUACAACCACUGAAGUUAAGCAAUGUUGAACCUGGCCAGUACUUUGAUGGAUGACCACUUGGGAAUACCAGAUACUGUAAG